GCUGGGCAUGGUGGCCCGCGCCUGUAGUCCCAGCUACUCAGGAGGCUGAGGCAGGAGAAUCGCUUGAACCCGGGAGAUGGAGGUUCCAGUGAGCUGAGAUCCAGCCACUGGACUCCAGCCUGGGCAACAGAGCGAGACUCCGUCUCAA
ensembl:misc_RNA Metazoa_SRP Metazoan signal recognition particle RNA